GCGGAAGUGGCGAAAUUGGUAGACGCGCACGUUUGAGGGGCGUGUGGGGAGACCUGUACGGGUUCAAGUCCCGUCUUCCGCACCA
rnacentral:tRNA from 3 species